GUUCAAGUGCUUAAAAAAAAGAUAGCAUUAACAGCAAUUUAUUGUUGGAAUUUCUCUGCAAAGUUUCAUUCAUCAAUAAAUAACAGAAUUUACAAAAGUCAUUAUAUUUUCCUGUUAUGUCUCCACUCCGAUUUGAACCCGGGACGACUCGGUGGAUAACUCAGCCACCUCUUCCUGCCAUCUCCAUGCAUUCUCCGGAGUUGUAAAGGUCAUACACCCUGACUCAACUCACAAACGAAAUUUAACCAAUAAUAACAAUAUUUAAAAAAAUGACUUCCACACCUCCCCCAACCAAAAACCCAUUAACUUACCUCUUUGUACAUUGUAAGUAAAAAUCAAAACCCAUAAGAAAUAGGGAAACUCAGCCGAGUUAACCCAACUCAUCCAAUGAACUCGAAUAUUUUGGACCCGAUAAAAUUUUCUCGUGGAUACCUUUUCCUAACACGGUCUGAGUCGAUCUAGGGUCAAAGCCAGAAUGUUACUGUUUAUCUCUUUUAUUUUCAAGAAACAAACAACAACCAAAUCCCAGUUGUUAUUUUCACUUACCAUAUGGUUUAUUCAGCGAAGCCAUGAAGCAAAGGUAGAGAUUCGGUCCAAAAAUCAAGCUUACUCCUAACUCCGACAUGGCAAUACCUCUGGAAAUCUUCCAGAUUCAAGAAACAGGCCGAAUUUCCCGACUCUGAUCGCGAAAUGUAUCGAAUCACUUCCUCAAAUAUUGUCUCGUCACAGGGAAUCGAUAAGGGACCUUGGUUAGUGAAGCCAUACUCUUCCUCGGCUUGCACUAAGAGUUUCUUGAAGACCGGAUGGUUCAGGUACGUGGCGCGCACCACAAAUCUCCUGCAACUGGUUCCAACGCAGACAGCCACGUGUCCAGCAGGAACAUCUGAAGGAAUACGAUUAGCAGACAUGCGAGCCUUGUUCCGCCACCGGCGCAGCAUUUGUCGAAGCCUGACGAUGUGGCGGAUUUUGCUACAUUUUCCUAUGCCAGCUGACAUUUUUUUUCCAAGAAAAUAUAGACUCCAAUGAAAAAUGAGAGAAAAUAGUAGAAAAGCCAAGUGCCCAAAACACCAGAAGUGUAGUUAAAGCUUUGGUUCCCUUUUGCUUUGCAAGAGGAAAUUUAGGGGGGGAUUGA
rnacentral:misc_RNA from 1 species